rnacentral:tRNA from 1 species
UGGGAUGUAGCCAAGCGGUAAGGCCACGGACUCUGCCUCCGUCACACCGAAGGUACGAAUCGUUCGAUCCCAACCA